GAUGAACGCUAGCGGCAGGCCUAAUACAUGCAAGUCGAACGGUGUAGCAAUACACAGUGGCGCACGGGUGCGUAACACGUAUGCAACCUACCUUACAUUGGGGGAUAGCCUUUCGAAAGGGAGAUUAAUACCGCAUAAGACAGUAACUGGGCAUCCAGUAGCUGUUAAAGAUUUAUCGAUGUAAGCUGGGCAUGCGUCCAAUUAGUUAGUUGGCGAGGUAAUGGCUCACCAAGACGAUGAUGGGUAGGGGAACUGAGAGGUCAAGCACCCACCCUGGCACGGCGAUACGGGCAAGAAUCGUACGGGAGUCAGAAGUAGGGGAGAUUGAGAAAUGGGCGCAAGCCGGACCCGGCCAUGCCGCGUGCAGGAAGAAGGCGUUAUGCGUUGUAAACUGCUUUUAUACAGGAAGAAACGACCCUUGCGAGGGGCAUUGACGGUACUGUAUGAAUAAGCACCGGCUAACUCUGUGCCAGCAGCCGCCGUAACAC
rnacentral:rRNA from 1 species